AAUUCGCCCUUAGAGUUUGAUCCUGGCUCAGAUUGAACGCUGGCGGCAUGCCUUACACAUGCAAGUCGAACGGUAACGCGGGGCAACCUGGCGACGAGUGGCGAACGGGUGAGUAAUAUAUCGGAACGUGCCCAGUCGUGGGGGAUAACUGCUCGAAAGAGCAGCUAAUACCGCAUACGACCUGAGGGUGAAAGCGGGGGAUCUUCGGACCUCGCGCGAUUGGAGCGGCCGAUAUCAGAUUAGGUAGUUGGUGGGGUAAAGGCCUACCAAGCCGACGAUCUGUAGCUGGUCUGAGAGGACGACCAGCCACACUGGGACUGAGACACGGCCCAGGCUCCUACGGGAGGCAGCAGUGGGGAAUUUUGGACAAUGGGGGCAACCCUGAUCCAGCCAUGCCGCGUGCGGGAAGAAGGCCUUCGGGUUGUAAACCGCUUUUGUCAGGGAAGAAAUCCUUUGGGCUAAUAACUCGGAGGGAUGACGG
rnacentral:rRNA from 1 species